rnacentral:rRNA from 1 species
AGUGAACGCUGGCGGCGUGCCUAAUACAUGCAAGUCGAACGGCGUGGCGCACGGGUGUGUAAUAUAUCGCUAAUCUUCCCCUUUCUGGAGGGCAAACGUUAGGAAUGACUGCUAAUACUCCAUAUCACGUGAUGAGACUAUAUCUUAUCAGCUAGGCGGUGGGGUAACGGCCUACCGAGGCUAUGACGAGUAACUGGUCUGAGAGGAUGAGCAGGCAAAUGGGAAGGGAGACACGGUCCAAACUCAUACGGGAGGCAGCAGUAGGGAAUAUUGCGCAAUGGGCGAAUCUCUGACGCAGCAACGGCGCGUGGAGGAUGACACUUGUAGGAGCGGAAACUCCUUUUGUUAGGGAAGCGUUACCUAAAGAAUAAGCACCGGCUAACUCCGUGCCAGCAGCCGCGGUAAUUC